rnacentral:rRNA from 1 species
GAUGAACGCUGGCGGCGUGCCUAAUACAUGCAAGUCGAGCGAACGGACGAGAAGCUUGCUUCUCUGAUGUUAGCGGCGGACGGGUGAGUAACACGUGGAUAACCUACCUAUAAGACUGGGAUAACUUCGGGAAACCGGAGCUAAUACCGGAUGAUAUUUUGAACCGCAUGGUUCAAAAGUGAAAGACGGUCUUGCUGUCACUUAUAGAUGGAUCCGCGCUGCAUUAGCUAGUUGGUAAGGUAACGGCUUACCAAGGCAACGAUGCAUAGCCGACCUGAGAGGGUGAUCGGCCACACUGGAACUGAGACACGGUCCAGACUCCUACGGGAGGCAGCAGUAGGGAAUCUUCCACAAUGGGCGAAAGCCUGACGGAGCAACGCCGCGUGAGUGAUGAAGGUCUUCGGAUCGUAAAACUCUGUUAUUAGGGAAGAACAUAUGUGUAAGUAACUGUGCACAUCUUGACGGUACCUAAUCAGAAAGCCACGGCUAACUACGUG